rnacentral:rRNA from 1 species
AGUGAACGCUGGCGGUAGGCCUAACACAUGCAAGUCGAACGGCAGCACAGUAAGAGCUUGCUCUUACGGGUGGCGAGUGGCGGACGGGUGAGGAAUACAUCGGAAUCUACUUUUUCGUGGGGGAUAACGUAGGGAAACUUACGCUAAUACCGCAUACGACCUACGGGUGAAAGCAGGGGAUCUUCGGACCUUGCGCGAUUGAAUGAGCCGAUGUCGGAUUUGCUAGUUGGCGGGGUAAAGGCCCACCAAGGCGACGAUCCGUAGCUGGUCUGAGAGGAUGAUCAGCCACACUGGAACUGAGACACGGUCCAGACUCCUACGGGAGGCAGCAGUGGGGAAUAUUGGACAAUGGGCGCAAGCCUGAUCCAGCCAUACCGCGUGGGUGAAGAAGGCCUUCGGGUUGUAAAGCCCUUUUGUUGGGAAAGAAAAGCAGCAGGUUAAUACCCCGCUGUUCCGACGGUACCCAAAGAAUAAGCACCGGCUAACUUCGUG